AAGUAAAAGCCACAGAACCCAAAAGAAAGAAUUAAAGAAGGAAAAAAAAUGGCAAAUUGUCAGACAAAGAGAAAAGGCUGAAGCUGAGGUAGUAGUGUGGAAUAGAAGAACAGAUAGAUAGACAAACGGGGAAAAUAGGAAUAAAAAAGAAAACCACAGGCCACCCUUAGCACAACCCCCUCAGCCCUUUGAAGCUCAGACAUCGAAGAGCGAAGAACGAAGAAGACAACUGUGGAAAAUAUAAAUAAAAAUUGUCUCUUUUUGCGCGUAAAAACACAAAAUUUUAUGCACUCCCUCUCUUUCUUGGCGUAUAUAUAAUAUCUCGUUUGAUUUUUGAGAAGAAAAUUCAUUAUCUUGUUAUAUCUGCUGCCUAUGGAUCCCUUUGAUUUGGUCUCUUCAAUCUCAGUCCUCCGCGAAGGUUUUGGCUGAUUGGUGACGAUAUUUGAAGCUUUCUCCUUUCAAAUUUCUUUUCAUGCAUGUAGAGACCCUUUUUUUCUUUUUUUAAUUUGGAAAAGAUCUGGAAACUUGAAGAAUGAACUUUUCGGGAAAAGGGGCUCUUAUUAGUGACAAAAAACUAUCCUCCACGAAGAUAACAACUUUGAAUCCAAAUGCUGCAGAAUUUGUUCCUUCUUCUCUUAGAUCAGUGACUGGAAGCACUAGUACUGCAGAAGCAUCUUCAAAGUUCGCUGCCUCUGCCACUGCAACAUUAGGAAAAUCUGUACUUGAUAGGUCUGAGUCUUCUGUCUCGAAUAACUCAGAUGAAGAGGCCCACCAGUAUUGGCGUCAUCAGCUACCUGAUGACAUCACUCCUGACUUUAAGGUUAUGGGGGAGGAUGAUCCUCAAGGAUUCAAUAGCCUAUCAUUAUCAAGUUUGUCACUAACUGAAGUCAAUGAAGCAUCUAGGUUUCCUGCUUCAAUAGGCAGUGGGUUUAUGCUGAAAGAUCAGAAUGAAUUAUCUCCUCAUUGUGUCAAUGGAAAUAGCUUUAAUGAGAAGAUGAGAUUUCCUGUUUCAUCCUAUGGCGAAAAUCUGUCCUCAGGCAGUUUCAAUAGCAUGUCAACUAAACCUUGGGACAAACAUAUUUUUAACAAUGACCGACUUCUUUCGAGUGUUAGGGAGGGAGCUCCGUACAAUGCGAAUUCAAGGCACAGUUUGCUGUCUGACUUGAUGAAUGAGCAGCAGUAUGUGGACAAUGCAGAUCCUCUUGACUUUUUGGCUUCACAAUUCCCUGGUUUUGCUGCUGAAAGUGUUGCAGAGGUUUACUUUGCCAAUGGGGGUGACUUGAACCUGACAAUUGAAAUGCUCACUCAGCUUGAACUUCAAGUGGAUGGUGGUUUGAAUCAAAGUAUAAAUUCAAAAGCCUUGUCAACUCCAAAUCUUAGUGCAAUGGAUUUCCCUGCUCUUUCAACAAUAGAAGGUCAAAAUGGCAUGACAAAGUUUGCUGGUGAUGAUCUCCAACAGAACAUCAGCCCUUAUAGAUCUUCUGAGAAAGACAAUGUACUUUUGUUCAAGUCUGGGUCUUCCUUUCCCUCUAGAGGAGCUAUAGAUUUUGCCGCAGCAGUUAGGAAAAUGACGCCUCAAGAUUCUGGCAUAUGGAAGUAUGACAGAAAUGGUUCUGCAGAUGUAAAUGCUGGAUCAAGUAGAGGUUCACAUGUCUUAGCAAGCUCAUACAACACUGGCCAGGUAAGGGGGAUUUACAAUGAUAGGUUACAGAGUCGGGGAUCAGCUCGUGCAGCUCCUAUCUGGCUUGAAACUGGAGAAGCAGUUGCAAAUAUGUAUUCUGAAAUGCGGGAGGAAGCUCGUGACCAUGCACGUGUCCGCAAUGCAUACUUUGAACAGAUUCAAGUACAAGACUCUUCUAGACCCUCUCCCUCAAGAAUUUAUCGCUUCCAAUGGGAAACUGUAAUUGCAUCUACUGUAUGGCCUCUCUUCUCCAUCAACUUUUUCCCAGCCCUUGACUGGAGGAACAACCCAAUUUCUUUCAAAAUUGGCAGUGUUCAAGGACUGCUUCUUUACUUUUAAGAUGAAUUAUGUAACUAUAUAAACAUUGGUUUACUGUUUUGAAUUUGAAGACUUUUGUCUGCUUGGUUUCUCAAUACACCUGGUCAGAAGGAUGUUUUGUCACCUUCUAGUUGAGUGAUCUACUAGGUGCUGGCAUGUAUUAACUUUUCCAAUUAAGUUUCUGUCUUUCCGCAAGGGGGACAAACUAAAUAUUUACCAUGAGUUUGCCUUUCGCCGUGAAACCUGACUCGUUGGUCUUUACAUUUUCUAGGAGGUUGAUAUUGUGCUCUUGUUGUACUCUUGUAAACUGACAGCAGUUGGUAGUGUCUCUUUAUGUAAAGGUUAUGUUUUCAUUCUACAUUGCAAGGGGCGAACAAGAAAUGCAAGAAACCCAUUUUGAGAGAAGGAAUCAAAAGGUUUCUAUGCUGUACAUAGUUGUUAGGUAUAGGUUGAUUUAUUACCUAAUCUUACUGUUGGUGAUGCUACAAUGGCUGAAAGGUGAAUAGUGAUAACUGUUCUACAUAUUUGAAGCGUAACAUGCUGAAAUCAAUGUGAACUAUACAUGCAUGAUGGUCUAUAGUGUUGAAGCUUCAUUCGAUCAUUGCUUGCAAGCCUCACCUUUUGAUGACUAAAUGAUAGAAUGAGGGUUGACAUGGUCAAUGGUAUCUUUUGGAAUAUGUCCAGUAUCGUCACUGCUGGCUAACAGUUCAGUUAAUUCUAUUUGAAAGUACGAGUUUUGUUUACCAAAUUGCAGUAUUCUUUGGAGCUAAUUGAUUUCCUUUAUAAUUUCUGUAUGCACGAGUAGGCUAGACAGGCAUACCUCGUUGGUAACAAGGCAUUAGCUAAAGAAUUGAGUUUAAAGGGGCAGCUCCACAACAUGCAGAUGAAGGCAGCUCAUGGAAAAGCUCAAGAUUCUAUCUACCGUCAGAGAAAUCCAGGUAAUCCGGACGGGAGGGGACAAGAGAGGAUAAUAGACCUGCACGGGCUUCAUGUGACUGAAGCUCUUCAUAUCCUUAAACGUGAGCUGUCUAUCUUGAGAAACGCAGCCCGAUCAGCUGAGCAACGACUGCAGGUAUACAUAUGCGUGGGAACCGGCCACCACACCAGGGGUUCACGUACGCCUGCUAGACUUCCAAUUGCUGUUCAGCGGUACCUGUUGGAGGAGGAAGGCCUUGAUUACUCUGAGCCGCAGCCUGGGCUCCUUAGGGUUGUGAUAUACUAAGUCAGGAAGGUAUAGGAAAGUUUUUUGACACGUAGCAUAACCCAUGGUAUCAAUCAAUCAAAAAGGAAAAAAAAAGUACAAAUGAAAAAUUUUUACUGCAUUUGUAAAUGGGAAGAAAUGGAAAAAGUAGAUCAGCUGUGCCCAAUAGAAAAGGGGAAAAAAAAUCUAAGAAAAAAAAUGGUAAAUGGAAGGAGAAAAGGGAGGAAUGUGUAUCAUUAAGCUUUAGUUGGCCAACUUUAGAAGUAAAUUUUUGUAGUUGCCACAGGAUCUUGUGUUAGUCUUCCCCCUCCACUUUUUGUAACUCGUACCCUGUAUUUUUGGUUCCUUGUUCGAUUCCUGUAACUGAUAGUAUUCAUUCACAUGAUAGUUCAAAUUCACAAAAUUGCGCCAAGUUAUCCUUA